CAGUAGUUUGUGACUUGUGUCUUAUGAUGAAGCUUCAUAGGGCAGAUUCUGAGCUGAGAAAUAGAAUUUCUCUCCACUGAUACUUGCUGUAUGCCAUCUGAAGACACUGUACAUUGC
rnacentral:snoRNA from 1 species